CAUUAUUGGUAGAAUUUUCUCUAGGUUUUCUUCACAUUGAGCCCACCUGAUGCACAUGUCAGACUUCCCAUGCAAGUGGUAGGCUAGUAGUGUGGCCUUGUAUGAGGUGCAUAUGGGCUUAACAAGCUGCUUUAUUAGUUACUUCUUUUUUCUUUUCUUUGAAAGUUGCCAAUUACAGGCACUUUCAUCUCUCUUCAUAUUUUCAGUUUUACCACUCUUGAUUCCCUUUCCAUUUUCAAAUUUUCAUCACUUGACUAAUGCUAUGGUAUUUGAUUCUUAUAAUAAGGUAUGUAUGAAUCAUCUGCAGGUGUUUUUGAACUUGUUGUACUUCUAUGGAAUGUGUGGUGUAGUGAAUGAUUGCUUGCUUCAACGGUACUUUAGCAAUAGUCCUCUAGUGGUGGUUUGCCCUCGAAUAUAAUUACAGAAGACGCACAGAAGAAGUUAUCGGUAUAGCUGUUGGAUGUGCAAGUGGACUAUUGAUACUCACAUCCAUUUUCUAUUUAUGGUGGAUGAAGGAUGCACCUGGCCAUAUGCGAGUGCACACAGACUCACCAAGAUUUGUAUUUUCAACAUUAUUGUAAUUGUAAUUGAAUUAAAUGAAUGAAUGAUUGUAAUUGAUUCAUUAUUGAA